rnacentral:rRNA from 1 species
GAUUCUGGCUCAGGACGAACGCUGGCGGCGUGCUUAACACAUGCAAGUCGAACGAGGAUCAUUCAAAUGAGAGCUUCGGCAGGAAUGCGGAUGAUUCGAGUGGCGGACGGGUGAGUAACGCGUGAGCAACCUGUCCCAGACAGGGGGAUAACACUUGGAAACAGGUGCUAAUACCGCAUAAGACCACGGGGGGACAUCCCUCUGGGGGUAAAAGGAGGAAUCCGGUUUGGGGUGGACUCGCGUCCGAUUAGAUAGUUGGUGAGGUAACGGCCCACCAAGUCGACGAUCGGUAGCCGACCUGAGAGGGUGAUCGGCCACAUUGGAACUGAGAGACGGUCCAAACUCCUACGGGAGGCAGCAGUGGGGAAUAUUGGGCAAUGGGCGAAAGCUUUGACCCAGCAACGCCGCGUGGGUGAAGAAGGCCUUCGGGUUGUAAAGCUCUGUUAUAGUUGACGAAGGAAGUGACGGUAGGCUAUAAGGAAGCCCCGGCUAACUACGUGCCAGCAGCAGC